rfam:Candidate division WWE3 bacterium RIFCSPLOWO2_01_FTLL_53_14 rifcsplowo2_01_scaffold_14610, whole genome shotgun sequence.
GCGCCCGUAGCUCAGUUGGAUAGAGUGCUGCCCUCCGAAGGCAGAGGCCAGAGGUUCGAAUCCUCUCGGGCGCA